UUUCAUUUUAUUUUGGAUCAAAUGCUCCACAACUAGUUGAAACUGGAAUUAAAUUUUAUAUGAAGUUCCUAGAUGAUUUAAAGCUGUAAGAAGAAGAAUAAUGAAUCAUAAGAAAACUUGCUGCUACAGAUAUCAAAAAGGAAUGUUACCAUCCCUCAUGCUAAUCCUUUUCAUUUUAAAUAAACAGGAUCUAAAAAAAAUAAUGCUGGGAAGUCCUAACCACAUCAAGAAUGCCUCAGAUCAGUGACCCAAGGAACCUUCCAGAAUGGAUGAAAUAGACCCAAAGCUGAAUUCACCUAAUUUUAGGGCCAAAAACCCAAAAAACAAAACAAGACCAAAAAAAUCUUCAGAUACUGGGAGAACAAAUCUCAAUUGCUCAAUUGUAUCUUAUGAAAACAAUUUUUCAAAAUAAAACAAGAG
rnacentral:lncRNA from 1 species